rnacentral:rRNA from 1 species
CUUCGGUGUUUUGAGACCGGCGCACGGGUGCCGUCAAACGUCGUAUGCAAUCUACCUUAUACAGGGGAAUAGCCCAGAGAAAUUUGGAUUAAUGCCCCAUAGCAUUACGACUUGGCAUCAAGAUGUAAUUAAAGUUCCAACGGUAUAAGAUGAGCAUGCGUCCCAUUAGUUAGUUGGUAAGGUAACGGCUUACCAAGACGAUGAUGGGUAGGGGUCCUGAGAGGGAGAUCCCCCACACUGGUACUGAGACACGGACCAGACUCCUACGGGAGGCAGCAGUGAGGAAUAUUGGUCAAUGGUCGCAAGACUGAACCAGCCAUGCCGCGUGCAGGAAGACGGUCCUAUGGAUUGUAAACUGCUUUUAUACAGGAAGAAACCCUCCCACGUGUGGGAGCUUGACGGUACUGUAGGAAUAAGGAUCGGCUAACUCCGUGCCAGCAGCCGCGGUAAUACGGAGG